AUAAAUAAAAAGUCAAUCACAGAACUGCUGUUCGUAGUAGACAGGAGCAUAACAAACCCGUUAGAGAACAUGACCAUGAACUUUCCUACAGGUCAGCCUGGACCAGAAAUGGACUGUCCGUGGAGCUCUGUGUACACCAUGGCUACUAAGUCGCUGAGUAGCUUGGAGGAAACAUGGCCAUUUGAAGACCCACUUGAAGAUUUCUUGAUCAAAAUCUAUCAAUUCUAGAACACUCGAAGCCUAGUACUACCAACUAAGGAUCAUCUUUCUUUAUAAUGACAUACAUUCCUGAGACGUGCCUUGUAAACCAUAGUUUGAUCAACUGGUCAUGCUUUGCAAACUUAUCUGUCAGUCAGAGACUCUUUUCUUCAAAUAAAACAAACCUCAGGGAAUCUGGUUGAAGUGGAGGAGGACAGGGAACCUGGCAGUCACCUCCUUUGUCAGCUGGUCCCCAAAGGGGGACUCUUCCAAGUAGAGUGAGAGGGAAAUCUAAGAUACCAGAGUGUCUAUGAAACACUUUGAAAAUCUAAAGGACUAUGGUUUUCUAUCCAAUUCCAAAAGUUAAUCAGGGGUCUAUUUUUCAUAAUAUAGCAUAAUUCUUAUUCCAUUUUUCUAGAACACCCCCAUUCAUCCAAUCAUUCAACAACAUCAGCUACAUACAAUCACUUGCCCCCUUUGAGCACAACAUAGUCCAGUGCAAAUGACCUCAGAGAGAAGAGUUGGAACAUGGUGCUGAAUCUGUGUUUCCUUGGGCUCCAUUUCUUCUGCAACACUUAGAUGAAGGAAGAAAACAGCUGAGCAGAGUCCAGAAGGAUAUGCAAAAGCUCUCGCCUCAAACAUCACCAGCUACUUAGAGAUACUCAAAGCAUGUCACCUCUGCCUAGAGGACUCACUUUCUAGUACUUCACAACAAACCACAGUAAGUCCACUUUCCGACACCUGCUUGCAAAGGCAAUCAAUCCCCAGGCCUCUGCACUGGUACAGUCUGAAUGAUCAAGACUGUGCCAAGCUGUGCUACUGUUUGUGAUUAUAAUUCUAUGUGUCAGUGACUGUUUCUGAGCCUUGUCUUCCUAAACGUAAUUUCCCCACAGAAUUCUGUAUUCUUCACGGUGUGAUUUCACACACAUAUGUGGCCCUCGGCCAGGGCUGGCGGUUGUUAAAUACUCUUAUUUCUUUCUCCACCUUCUUUUCUUUUCUAUUGAGAUGGUCUCAAAAUGCAGCCCAUUUUGUCCUUGGAGUCACUAUGUAACUCCUACUGGGGAUGCCCCUGCCUCGGCACCUCAUGUCAGGAUUGCAGGUGUGCACCACCACCACCCCUGGCCUUCAUUGCCUUCAUAAUGUGGAGGCUGGCAUGUCCUAUCUUACCAUUCUCUUUGAGAACCUUAUCCAGUUCUCAAAAUCACUCUCAGAUGCAAGGAUUUUAGUCUCUGUUUUUCCUAGAAAGCAUUUGGGACUUAGAGGGAGGCUCAGUAAUGUGAAUCCUUGUACUUCCAAAAGCUGAGGAAGAAAUCUCUAGUGAGUGCCUUAGGUCACAAGCUGUCUAAGGAAGCUGGGCAGGUGAGCAUGCUUCACAAAGUGAGAACGGAGCGAGAGCAAGCAGCAGGGCGAAGAGCUGGGUUUUGUUCUGUGGUGUGGUGAUGACCCAACCAAAUGCUCUUUUAAAAGCUGUUUCCAAAAUUACACACAAGUAGGGGGAGGACAUCCAAGGAGAGGAACAAAGGCCAGCUUGUUGAGAGGAUAUGGAGAUCUGGUGUUUCCGAGCAAUCCCGAGGAGUGCAGAAGCUGGAAUCACAGGACACAAAGCUCAAACGCAUGGCAGGGAUGCCAGAAGCUUGUAACGCUUCAAAGCUGGGGCGUGCAAGAUAUGGAAACUAUAAAGCAAGACCAGCUGUGAACAGCGCUGCCACCCCGGCACUAUGUUCCAGCAUAGAGGAAGGAGCUCUUCGCUCACACUCGAUGACUUCCUGUAGUGAAAACCAAGCUGUGGCAAAUGUUGCAAAGGAUUUGAGGAUGACUGUGAGUUCGGGCUACUGGGUGGCACCAACUCCCUUCACCUGGGCUCACUGCAGCUGAGCCUGCCCGUGAGUUUCACUUCCCAGGAGCUAAGCCAGCUUUGCUUACAGAUAGACCUUCAUGCCUCUUCACCUUGGCUCAAAGACUGGGAAACUUCCGUGAUUUUUCUCCAUUUCUAGGAUGAGACUGAGCAGAUCCACAUACAGUACUGGGAUUCCUAGGGGGCUGUGGAAGUAGUAGGAAGUUGCCACAUCCAGGAGGCAGCAUGUCCCAGGCCUAGACUUCUGCUCAUAAACACAUGUCGAUAUAUGUGGGGAGUUGAUUAAAGUGGCAGUCAAAGCCAGACACUCCUCAGAGCUUGCAGAGCCUGUUCACGGGGACCAUAGAUUUCCUAUCUACUCCUUCACUUUACAAAUAACUGCUGCUCACCUUCCUUGUAAUUCUAAUAGAAGUUAUUCAACCAGAACCCAAGUUCUCUCCAGUGGACUAGGGCCUCAAGGCCUAUUUAUUUGCCUUCUAUAAUUUAUUUUCCUCAUCCUUAAAAUGUAACAACCUUAUUCACCUUGUUCAAUAGCUUGUCCCCAAGAGCUAAGGACAGUUAAGUAACCAAUCGGCAGGGGUGACUAAUAAAAACCAAAACAAACAAAUAAAAAACAAAAAACAAACGAACAAAAGGCAGCAGCUGGAAUGACAGACAGGGAGAUCCUCUAUCAGAAAAGUCCUCAGAGGAAGAGGAACUUGGGCAGAGAGAAGUCAGCAAGGGAACAAGCCCUUUGAGGAGUCGGAAGAGGCAGCAUCAUGUUCUAAUUAAGGUCCAGGUAGCUGACAUGGAGGAAUCAAGGGGGAUAUAGUCGGUACAAGGUGAAGGGAAGACAGAAGAGGUCUUGGUAGAUUGCAAGGUUUAGGGUUAGGGAACUUGAGUUCAAGUCCCAGCCUCACCACUCACUAGCUAUGUGGUGAUGGGUUCCUGAAUCCCUGUCUACCAGGGUUCUCCAAAGAUGCCCCGAAACAGACAUGGCAAAGCACUUCAACCACUUGGCCUCAUGGAUCCUAGGAAAAUAGAGAAGGUGUCAUCUCCCAGAACCCAAGAACACACUGGUGAGAAACAAGGCCAGACAGUCAGUGGGCAUGUGAACUGUAGCACAGACAAGACCAGACAGUCAGUGGGCAUGUGAACUGUAGCACAGACAAGACCAGACAGUCAGUGGGCAUGUGAACUGUAGCACAGACAAGACCAGACAGUCAGUGGGCAUGUGAAUUGUAGCACAGACAAAACCAGACAGUCAGUGGGUAUGUGAACUGUAGCACAGACUAGACCAGACAGUCAGUGGGCAUGUGAACUGUAGCACAGACUAGACCAGACAGUCAGUGGGCGUGUGAACUGUAGCACAGACUAGACCAGACAGUCAGUGGGUAUGUGAACUGUAGCACAGACUAGACCAGACAGUCAGUGGGCGUGUGAACUGUAGCAGUGACCAAGUGUUCACCACAUGCCAGUUACUCUGUGUCACCAGCCUCGUCUCUACUCCUCAGAGAAACCAAGGCAGAGAGUCCACUGACUCUGAUUUGCUAGAAGGUAGCUAAGGCCGACAGACAGGGAGAGUCCAGGUAGUGAAACUCAGGCAGGUAGUGGCUGAGCCACGUCGGGUCUGUCUAACUUCAAGCAUUGUGACUCGUGGCCCAUGGCCUCCGUAGACAAGCAGCGUGUAUACGAAGAUGCUGCGGCUGAGGGAAGACAGUUUCGAGCUCAGCCUGGCUGCCUCACAGACAAGUGAGUUUGGCUGACCCCUCAAGAAUUCACCAGCACUCAGGUAACGGAGGAAAGAGAGGCAUUUUAGGUAAGAGAGCUGCGGUCAGAGACGAGGGCACAGAGCAGUGUAAGGCCAGGUGGGUUCUGGGAAAGGUGGAGAGUCCGUCAAUCUAUGGUCCAAGGACAUGGUAGGAAGGACAUGGGUGUGUGGUGGUGCCUUAGGAGCAGCUUGCAAAGGCCUGGCUCACCAGGCCUGUCAGUAGGAGUGUUACUAGGAGGCACGGAGCUCCGCUUCUGAGGAACUGGUGACAGCAGGAAUGUCUUAUGCAAUACCUGAGAAAAGGCUGCCUGACAGGAAGUGUCACCAGGUUUUUAAUAGAAAGUGUUAUUCAUGCUCUCUGGAGAAGCAGUCUUUCAGGACACUGCACUGGGGCUUAUUUUAGGAACCCACAACUGUAGAAACACUACCUAAAAGGGUUGAUAUGCCACACAGAUGACCGUCAAGGAGGGCCUGUCCUCAGGUCCCUUCCCCAGAGCCCAGGUCAUUUCCAGAGAAAUGCCGUUGCCAUGGCCUGUGCCUAUCACCUCCAGCACCAGGGCAUGCUUUCCUCUUCAUUAUUCUCUCCCAGUCUCUCUUUUCUCCUCCCUGGCUCCACAUUGGUGGGGGACACACAGGAGAAUUUGGACCCUAGGAGGCAGCAGCUGUGGCCUCUCCAAAGGGCUCUCCAGGUCAGUGGUUACCAUGGCAACACCACAGGCCCUAGCCCAGGGGCCCCUGGGUUCCAUCCAGGAAGGGGCUGUACCACAAAGACAGUCCUACCUCUUGUUUACCUUCAUUCUUUCCCACGCUCACCAAACAUUGAUUGGUGCCUACGCUAUGCUAAGCUAAAGAUCCAGUGAUGAACAGACCAGAAGUCCUGGCUUCAGAGGACCUGGGUCCUGCAGUGCAGACAGACAAACAGACAAAGGAGAUGACUUCAGAGCAUUAAGAGUGGGAAGAGCCACAGAAUGGGAUAACACGGGCCUGAGGUACUGUUUUAGGUAGUAGGGACACUAACUGCUGGUCUGAGGAGGUGACGCUGGAGGGCACAGGCCCAAGGCAGGAAGUGGGCUUGGAGACUGAGGAGGAUCCAGGAGACCACUGUAAUGGGGGAGAGGGAGACACAGAAGAACAACAGGGAAGGGCUGGAGCAUGCAGGGACUUGGUGGCCGAGGGUAGAACUUCACAUUUAUCCCAAUGUUCUAAGAAGCCAUCUGAACUCUCUCUGCAGCUUUCCAAGGAUGACUUGAACCACAGGCGCUCCAAAAGGCGAGCCUAUGAAGGAAUUUAUGUUCAUCCAUCCCACUCUUAACCUGUCAGCUCUCUGUAGAGGAUCAUGUGCCUGGUGCUGGCCAUACACCACAGACACAGAAUCUUCACAGAAGGCUCGAGUUUUUAACUUGGUUGUAGAUAAUCAUACAAUAAAAGAUGUAACUCCCUGCACCACAGGACAUGAAAAAACAAAACAAAACACACAACUGACCUAUUUUAAGUGUCAUGAAUCUUCUUAGAGGAAGUGACACCAAGUGACAGCUAAGGAGUUAAUGUGGUAGGCACAGAAAAGAGGGGGAGAGUUGUGGACACAGCAAAGAGGGAGGAAGGGAGGGUCCCUGAAGGAACAGCAUGUGUAAAGUGCCUGAGGCAGGACAACACUCAAGAAGCUGACAGGCUGGGCCAUGGAGACAGGUACCUGCUGCAAAGCCUGAGGACUCCAGUUCAAUUCCCAGGACUCACAUGACAGAGAGAACCAACUCUUAAGUUGUCCUCAGAUGUGGAGUAACAGGAACACUCAUCCAUUGUUGGCGGGAGUGUCAGCUUGUACAAUCACUGUGGAAAUCAGUGUGGCUGUUCCUCAGGAAGAUGGGAAUUGAUCUACCUCACAAUCCAGCUAUUCCACUCUUGGGCAUAUCCCAAAGGACACCUCAUCCUACAACAAAGACUCUUGCUCAACCAUGUUCAUUGCUGUUCUAGUCAUAAUAGGCAGAGACUGGAAACAAUCUAAAUGUCCCUCACCCAAAAAAAAUGGAUAAAGAAAAUGUACAUUCACACAAUGGAGUAUUACUCAGCUGUUAAAAAGUGACAUCAUGCAUCAGUAUGCAGGCAAAUGAAUGAAAGUAGAGAAAAAUCAUCUUGAGUGAGGUAACCCAGACCCAGAAGACAAAUAAGAUCAGUGCCUUGCUCAGCCAUCAUCAGAGAAGCUUCCUCCUGCAGCAGAUGGGAACAGACACAGACCAACAGCAGACAAUAUGCAGAGAGUAAGAAACCUUGAAACACUCAGCCCUAAAUGGGAUGUCCCCAUCAAAUCCCUCCUGUCAGAACUCGGAAAACCCCAUGGAAGAGGAGGCAGAAAGAGUAUAAGAGCCAGAGGGUAAAGAGGACACCAGGAGAACAAGGCCCUCUUAAUCAACAUGAUCAAAACUCUUACGAACUCACAGAGGCUGAGGCAGCAUACACAGGGCCUGCACGGGUCUGCAUCAGGUCCUCUGUGUUAUAGUAUGGCUUCCAGUUUAGUGUUUUUAUGGGAUUUCUGAGCAUGUGAUUGAGUGGGCCUCUGGUUCUAGUGCCUUCUCUUGGGCUCUUUUCCUCCUGUUGGUUUGUCUGCUCCAACUUGACUGUGAUAGGUUUUGUUUUAUCUUAGUACAUUUUAUCUUUAUCUCUGAGAAGCCUGUUCUGUUCUAAUGCAAGACAGAAAGGGAGUGGAUCCGGAGGGGAGAGGACAUGGGGAGGAGCAGGGAGGCACAGAGGGAGGGGAGAACAUAAUUAGGAUAUAUUAUGUGAGAGAAGAAUCGAUGUUCAGUAAAAGAAAAAAAGAAAGUUGUCCUCUGACCUCUAUAUGUCAAAAUUGACAUCCACACAC